UACGGAGGGGACUAGCGUUGUUCGGAAUUACUGGGCGUAAAGCGCACGUAGGCGGAUUUGUAAGUCAGGGGUGAAAUCCCGAGGCUCAACCUCGGAACUGCCUUUGAUACUGCAAAUCUCGAGUUCCGGAAGAGGUGAGUGGAAUUCCUAGUGUAGAGGUGAAAUUCGUAGAUAUUAGGAAGAACACCAGUGGCGAAGGCGGCUCACUGGUCCGGUACUGACGCUGAGGUGCGAAAGCGUGGGGAGCAAACAGGG
rnacentral:rRNA from 1 species